rnacentral:rRNA from 1 species
GUCUGACGCCGCGACGCCGCGUGAAGGAUGAAGGCCUUUGGGUUGUAAACUUCUUUYSCCUCGACAGAGAUGUCGUGGAGAAUAAGCACCGGCUAACUACSUGCCAGCAGCAGCGGUAAAACGUAGGGUGCAAGCGUUGUCCGGAUUUAUUGGGCGUAAAGAGUUGCGUAGGCGCCCCGUCGCAUCUUGUUUUAAAUACCAGGGCUUAACUCUGGAAAGGGACAAGAGAUGGACGGGGUUGAAGAAUGUCGGGGUUACUGGAACUGUCGGUGUAGGGGUGAAAUCCGUUGAUAUCGACAAGAACACCAAGGGCGAAGGCAGGUAACUAGGCAUUAUUUGACGCUGAGGAACGAAAGCUAGGGUAGCGAAAGGGAUUAGAGACCCCUGUAGUCCUAGCCGUAAACGAUGCUCGCUAGGGAUCCGAUGCUUUAUGCAUUGGGUCUCGUAAGCUAACGCGUUAAGCGAGCCGCCUGGGGAGUACGAUCGCAAGAUUAAAACUCAAAGGAAUUGACGGGGACCCGCACAACCAGUGGAGCAUGUGGUUUAAUUCGAGACGAACCGAAGAACCUUACCUGGACUUGACAUCCUAGCUGCACGUCGCUAGAAAUAGCGAUUUCUUCGAGAGUGCUAGGACAGGUGUUGCAUGGCUGUCGUCAGCUCGUGCCGUAGGGUGUUCCCUUCAGUGGGGUAACGAGCGCAACCCCUGCCGUAUGUUGAAUU